GUUGAGAUAAUUGAAAAACUUUUGCUUGGCAAUUUGUAUAUUCUCAAAUGUCAGGGUGGCACAACGGCAAAUAAUUUAUUAUCAACUGACAAGGCAAUAACGUUAAGCCUGAUACUGUAAUGCAACAUCCAGAAGACCCCAUGUGGCAGAGCGAAAAGGGAUGCAGAUAUCUCUCAAAUACUGAUAAAAACAGAUCAUUUCAAGUAUGGGUAGAUAUUAAUGGUUGUACCACCUGACAAAAAAGUUAAGAAAAUUAAAAAUUAAAAAAUAAACACUUUGAAAUGUUAUGUAACAACUGAAACUUGUUUAAACACAUUGUUCAUGACUUAAAAAUAUGCAUUACAUCGUUUUUUAAAGAUUUUUAAAAAACAUUGUUUUGAAGCUUUAUUUCCUCAGUGACCCAUAUAGGCUAACAAAACCUGUUGGAAAAACAUUACAAUAAAAGUGUGUUUUCCUUAGUGUAUUUGUACAUCCACAGCUGAAAAUGUUCCAAAAUCAAUAGACAAUAUGCCUGUAGUUUUGAUGUUAGUAUUUACUUUUAAUAAAUGCAUUACUAGAAACAAAAAUGCAGUGUUUUAUUUUGCAGUAAAGUUUAACUGUUUGCCAAAUGUAAGAGUGUGUUCAGAUCACUGUGUUAACUGUUUUGAGAACAGGUACAUUACUUUGGAGAAAUGUGUCAAAUCGAUUGAGAAAAACUGUAAUAAGAGAAUAACCAUUAAAAAAAUGUAUUAAGAUGACAUAUAGUCAAGUGACAUCCCUGAUCAAGCGAAAUUUAAUUUAAAUCCUACACUAUGCAUGUAUAAAAUAUAAUUAAAACAACUUUUAUAAAUAGUAUAGCUUAUUUAAGCAUUGUACAUUCAAAGUGGUGCAGAAAAAUAUAAUUAAAUGCCUUAUGUGUAUUGGAUGUUUGGAUGUUUUGGUUAUAUUAGGUUCAAUUUAAAAUAAAAAAAAAAUAAUAAUUAAAAAAAAAAACAGAGUAGCGACUUAAAGUCCAUGGGGGACAUGGCCAAACCAGCUGAGCACCAAUGGUGUAAGAUAUUCCAACAAAAGUGAUCUUACCUGCAUUCUGCCAGAAGAUGGAGCUCUAGGAGCCAUUCUAGUUCAGUCUCAGUUCAGUUGUUAAAACAGAGACAGACUUACAUUGAGUCACUUAUACUCUAGUAGAGAACUGUGAGUCUUGAGUCUCAAACUCAUUGUCUCUUACUAGUGCAGAUGUUGCUCCUGGUAUUCAUUAUAUCUUCUCUUCUAAAAGGGAAUGCUGCUGCAGACGUGAUAACACCAUUAUUCACAGACAAGCAUGUUUUGGAAGGAAAAGAUGUUACACUGAUCUGCAACUACACUGGCAAUGUUAAUAAUUUGCAGUGGUACCGUCAGUAUCCCGGAUCCAAACCUGAACACCUCAUUUUGUUCAGUGAGUCCAGCCCCAUACCAGAGCCCUCUCUCCGUCUGACCGCUGCAGCAGAUAAAGCCAUCAAACAUAUGAAUCUGACGAUCUCUUCUACAGAAGUGAAAGACUCUGCCAUGUACUACUGUGCCCUGGAGCCCACAGUGACAGGAAACACUACUGCACCCUACAAAAACUCAAUGAGAAAUUAUACAUUUUGCCACACAUGGUAA